rnacentral:lncRNA from 1 species
UUUGAAGGUCACGUACCUGGGGAAGUAAACUUUGAUGUAUGUAAAUUAAGUUCGAAUGUAUUAUUAUUUAGUAUUAUUCAGCUUAAAGAAAUGGUAUCGUGGAGAACCGAGUUCGGGUUUCAAGUACCCGGAUUUGGGGUCGCCACAGGUUGGUAUCAAAGCUGUAGGUUAUAAACGUUAGGAAUGCGAAACCUAGGUUAUAACCUUAGUAGAAUGGAUAACGAAAGUUAAGAUAGAUAUUCAGUAGACGAAGAACUCUGGUGAAGAGUUAUAACCUUAGUAGAAUGGAGGACGAAAGUUAAGAUAGAUAUUCAGUGAACCAGGAGACGAAGUACUCUGGUGAGAAGUUAUAGGAUAUGAUGAGUUGAAGAGAUUCAUCGAGUUUUAGUGGUACUAAAUAAAAUAUUACUUCAUUUUAAUGAUGAAUAUAUUUUAUUUCAGUAAUGAUGUUGUCUCGUUUAUUGUGGUCAUAGGAUGGAUGACGAAAGUCAAAAUAGUAAUUCCUUGACCCAAGAGACGAUGGACUCUAGCGAGGAGUACACAGACAGUGAGAUGAUAAGAGAUUUGAUAGUUAGGAACGACGACUUAAAGGUUAGAGCUAAGCAGGCGGAGGCACGAAAUCGUACUCUCCAGAUUUCAGAACAGCAGUACAAGGA